CAUUAAGCUAACCUGUACUAAUUACCCGUGAGGCUUAACCAUACAACGCCAAACGCGUUU
rnacentral:rRNA from 1 species